GCAGUCGAGCGGGCGUAGCAAUACGUCAGCGGCAGACGGGUGAGUAACGCGUGGGAACGUACCUUUUGGUUCGGAACAACACAGGGAAACUUGUGCUAAUACCGGAUAAGCCCUUACGGGGAAAGAUUUAUCGCCGAAAGAUCGGCCCGCGUCUGAUUAGCUAGUUGGUAGGGUAACGGCCUACCAAGGCGACGAUCAGUAGCUGGUCUGAGAGGAUGAUCAGCCACAUUGGGACUGAGACACGGCCCAAACUCCUACGGGAGGCAGCAGUGGGGAAUAUUGGACAAUGGGGGCAACCCUGAUCCAGCCAUGCCGCGUGAGUGAUGAAGGCCCUAGGGUUGUAAAGCUCUUUUGUGCGGGAAGAUAAUGACGGUACCGCAAGAAUAAGCCCCGGCUAACUUCGUGCCAGCAGCCGCGGUAAUACGAAGGGGGCUAGCGUUGCUCGGAAUCACUGGGCGUAAAGGGUGCGUAGGCGGGUCUUUAAGUCAGGGGUGAAAUCCUGGAGCUCAACUCCAGAACUGCCUUUGAUACUGAAGAUCUUGAGUUCGGGAGAGGUGAGUGGAACUGCGAGUGUAGAGGUGAAAUUCGUAGAUAUUCGCAAGAACACCAGUGGCGAAGGCGGCUCACUG
rnacentral:rRNA from 1 species